rnacentral:rRNA from 1 species
CUAGCAAGUCGAACGGAGUAGAAAUACGUUAGUAGGCGGACGGGUGAGUAACGCGUGAGAAUCUGCCUUCAGACGAGACACAGUUGAAACGACUGCUAAGCCCCGAUGAACCGAAAGGGAAAAUAUUUAUAGCCUGAAGAUGAGCUCGCGUCCGAUUAGCUAGUUGGCGGGGUAAAAGCCCACCAAGGCGACGAUCGGUAGCUGGUCUGAGAGGACGAUCAGCCACACUGGGACUGAGACACGGGCCCAGACUCCUACGGGAGGCAGCAGUGGGGAAUUUUCCGCAAUGGGCGAAAGCCUGACGGAGCAAGACCGCGUGGGGAAGAAGGCUCUUGGGUUGUAAACCCCUUUUCUCUGGGAAGAAAGUUGUGAAAGCAACCUGACGGUACCAGAGGAAUCAGCAUCGGCUAACUCCGUGCCAGCAGCCGCGGUAAGACGGAGGAUGCAAGCGUUAUCCGGAAUGAUUGGGCGUAAAGCGUCCGCAGGUGGCAGUUCAAGUCUGCUGUCAAAGGACCGGGGCUUAACUUCGGAAAGGCAGUGGAAACUGAACAG